ACCCUGAGUAGCCUGCCUUGAUUGGCUGCAGAUGUUCUAAUCAGCCUGUCUGCCUUAAUUGAUUUUAGCAGCUUCCUGAUUAAUCUAGUGCAGCCCCUGCUCUGGUCACUCAGAGAACAGAAAACUACUCAUCCAGUGACCAGUAUAUUUGCCCUCUACGAGACUCCUGUACUCCACUGGGCUGGAUCUGUCACACUACUAAACUGUUACC